GACGAACGCUGGCGGCGUGCUUAACACAUGCAAGUCGAACGGAAAGGCCCUGCUUUUGUGGGGUGCUCGAGUGGCGAACGGGUGAGUAACACGUGAGUAACCUGCCCUUGACUUUGGGAUAACUUCAGGAAACUGGGGCUAAUACCGGAUAGGAGCUCCUGCUGCAUGGUGGGGUUUGGAAAGUUUCGGCGGUUGGGGAUGGACUCGCCGCUUAUCAGCUUGUUGGUGGGGUAGUGGCUUACCAAGGGUUUGACGGGUAGCCGGCCUGAGAGGGUGACCGGCCACAUUGGGACUGAGAGACGGACCAGACUGCUACGGUAGGCAGUAGGGGGGAAUAUGGCACAAUGGGGGGAAGCGUGAUGCAGAAAUGCUGCGAGCGGGAUGACGGCCUUCGUGUUGUAAACCGCUGUCGCCUGUGACGAAGCUUGAUUGACGGUAAUGGGUAAAGAAGCACCGGCUAACUACGUG
rnacentral:rRNA from 1 species